UUUUUAUUGCGGUUCGGUUCGGUUUUCGGUUUUGACAAUGAAAACCCUAACCGAACCGAACCGAACCGGUUAAAAAAAAACAAAUAAAACCAACCCCCCCCCCACCCCCCAACCCCCUCACAGCAUAACCUAACCUAGCCGCCAACCCUCACAUUCACUCUGCGCUCUCUACUUUCGAAACCCACUCCCAGUCUCGCAGCAGCCAGCACCUCCCACUCCCAACAUGCGUGAACCCCUUCCUCCCACCAUCUCCCUGCGCUAAUGAACCCCUUCCUCUCACCACCUCCCAGCGCCACCGAACCCUUCCAGUCUUUCACACAGCGCCGCCGAACCUUUCGUCCCAGCACCUCCUCGCAGACAGCACCAGCCAACACCAUCGUCGCAGAGCCAGCACCACCCGCGUCACCACCCACAGCAUCGUUUCUGGCCUCGCGGAGACACGGAUAGCAGCCGCCAUCGAGUCAAGUCAGAUAAGGAGCCUCCAAUUUAGGUUUUGUUCAGGAAUUGCUGGUUAUUGAAUUAUUGUUCAGUGUAUUGAGAUCAGCGUAUUAUUCAGUUUAUUGUUAAGAAUUUGGUAUUGUUGGAUUGCUGGUUAUAAAUUUCUGGGUUCUGGCCAUGAUCAAGAGUUCAACACAGCAGCUCCCAGUCUCCCACCACACCACUGACCCCAACAUCAUCAUCGGUGAUAACGGAGUUGGGAAGUCAUGUCUUCUACUUCAAUUCACUGGCAAGCGCUUUCAACCCGUCCAUGACUUGAAAAUUUAUUUUUAUCUUUCAGUUGUGUUGACUACUGAACUUUUAAACAUCUUUAAUUGUCGUAUUUGAAUUUCUUUUGUCGUUAAAUUUCAUUAGAUCAAGACUUUGUUAGUUAUUGUGUAUUCGUGUUUGUCGUAGUCAAUGAUAUGACUUUGUAAAA